rnacentral:tRNA from 1 species
AGGGUUGUGGCUCAGAGGUAGAGCACUUGCCUGGUGUGCAUGAGGCACUGGGUUCAAUCCUCAGCACCACAU